AUAUACCCACGCAGACAUUUCACAUUAUGAAGUUUGAGUUCCUGCAAGUAACCCUCACAUUGCAUACACAAGAAAUUAACACACCCUCAACCUCACAGCCUUCUCAUGUGUGUCUGUCUCAUUAGAGACCUUGGUUACAUUUCACAGCACAUUUUGAUCAUCAGCCUUUGUGAAGUUCCUGCUCAUCCUCCUUUCAUAAUUUCUAUGGGAAGAAGAUAAAACCACUUUAUUCUUAACAAGUCAAACAAAGAUUUUUUCUGGAGCUUGGAAUGAAAUUCGGGUCUGCUCUGCUAUUGUUUCAUGUAAUCAAAUGAUGUAGGGACCAAUUAAGAAACACAUAGAAGCACGUCAAGCAAGGUAAUGGGCAUACUGGGAAGUUAUUUUGUUUACUUUGUAUUUAAAAACACUUAUAUAGCACUUUAUUUAUGAGGUGUCAGGCAUGGUUCCAUUUAAAAUACUGACCAUUGAAUAGUUUAAUAAUUCAAGUGUGGCAUAAAUAAUGUAUAUCUGUGGGAUCUGAUGCAAAAAAGAGCAUCUCAAACAUGUCUGAAAAUAGAAUUAUAUUAGCAAUGGGUCAGUCCACAGUUCUGCGUUUUGUCCACGCAUCCUUACUAGCAAAUUCCCAGUGUAUCACUUCUCGCCAGAACAGUUUGUACUCUCAUCACUUCUGAAGAUUCUACACAUUUCAACUCUGCUUUGCUGUUUUGAUCAAGGUUUUCCUUCUCUUUGCACCUUCCCAACAGUUCUGUAACAUCUUAACCCUGAUGCAGAGUCCAGUUCCAUAAAAACCCUCUUUAAGAGAAUCUCAGAGAACCCUGCAAAGUGAAUUUCCCCACACACAUCAUUCUACUUCCAUUAAACCACUUAACAUUUGCUUGGGAGCAGAAUCGUCUAUGGAUAUGUCUGACUUUUCUCCUAACAGCAAAUUUCUGGACAGCAGGAACUAUUUAGGGCAAGUUCAAGCAACAUGGAGGAAGCUUGAGAUUCUGUGGGGCCAGUCAUCCCUAUUCUAGGCAAGGCCUAGGUAGGGUUUGAGCCAGCUGACUUGCCCAAGGUCAUAUGUCUAGUUUGUGGCAGAGGUAGGCCUAUCACAAAGUCUCAUCACUCUUAGUCCUCUGUUCUUUUCUUUUAAGAUUGGCCCUGAGCUAACAUCUGUUGCAAAUCUUCCUCUUUUUUUUUU
rnacentral:lncRNA from 1 species